ACGUUCGGUGGAGGAACCAGACUGGAAGUUAACUUGGGUCGAGUCGUCCCCACCCUGACGGUGCUGCCCCCCUCCAGUGAGCAGCUGCAGCAGGGGACGGCCACGCUCAUGUGCCUGGCCAACAAGGGCUUCCCCUCAGACUGGAGUCUGUCCUGGAAGGUGGACGGCAGCAGCAGCAGCAGCAGCAGCUGGGAGCAGAGCAGCAGCCCCGGGGUGCUGGAGAAGGACGGCCACUACAGCUGGAGCAGCACCCUGAGGCUCUCUGCAGACCAGUGGAGGAAGGUGGGCUCUGUGACCUGUGAGGCCACCCAGGGCUCCCAGACUCCGCUCUCAGAGACUCUGAGGAGAGACCAGUGUUCCCAGUCCUGAUCUGACUCACUGCUUUUACUCUGCUACUGCUCUCAGUCUGCUCUCUUUCUCUGGUUCUCUCAUGAUGUUUCAACAUUAACUUGUUCUUGCUUGUGUUGAUAGUUUUAACAUUUUCAAACAAUAAAGAAUUACAUCGUGUAUUAUAAAAGUGACCAUUGUUUUGAAUUCCUUUCUUUUACACGUGUUAUAUAUUAGGAGCAUGAAUCAGAUUAAUGUGGCAAAGUGACAAUCGUUAGAACUACAUUUUUUCCAGAUACAUUUUUAAUAGUUUUAAGACGUCAGAUGCAGGUGCAGCUAUUUCAAUGGUAAAUCACAAAGCCAUCAGAUUUAACAAAUAUAUACUUUUGAAGAUCUAUUUGUCAAUUUAAUAUGUCAUUAAAUUUGUAUUUUUACCCAAGAUAAUUCAACAUUUAUUUGUAAUCCUAUGAUACAAUAUAAAUGGUGCCCCGUGCGAGGCAUCGUACAGUUGGUAAUAGUUCUGUACACUGUAAUUCUCUCUUUCUCACACAUUAUUGCUUGUGUUAAUGCUUUCAAAAUUUUAAAGCAAUAAAGAUUUUAUUAUGU